rnacentral:rRNA from 1 species
GGGUCAGUAGGUUGGUCGUGCCACCGGUACGUACUGGUCUCACUGAUUCCUCCUUCCUGAAGAACCGUAAUGCCAUUAAUUGGGUGUUGCGGGGAAACAGGACUGUUACUUUGAAAAAAUUAGAGUGUUUAAAGCAAGCUAACGCUUGAAUACAUUAGCAUGGAAUAAUGAAAUAGGACGAUCGAUCCUAUUUUGUUGGUGUCUAGGAUUGACGUA